GAUGAACGCUGGCGGCGUGCCUAAUACAUGCAAGUCGAGCGAAUGGAUUGAGAGCUUGCUCUUAUGAAGUUAGCGGCGGACGGGUGAGUAACACGUGGGUAACCUGCCCAUAAGACUGGGAUAACUCCGGGAAACCGGGGCUAAUACCGGAUAACAUUUUGAACCGCAUGGUUCGAAAUUGAAAGGCGGCUUCGGCUGCCACUUAUGGAUGGACCCGCGUCGCAUUAGCUAGUUGGUGAGGUAACGGCUCACCAAGGCAACGAUGCGUAGCCGACCGGAGAGGGUGAUCGGCCACACUGGGACUGAGACACGGCCCAGACUCCUACGGGAGGUAGCAGUAGGGAAUCUUCCGCAAUGGACGAAAGUCUGACGGGGCAACGCCGCGUGAGUGAUGAAGGCUUUCGGGUCGUAAAACUCUGUUGUUAGGGAAGAACAAGUGCUAGUUGAAUAAGCUGGCACCUUGACGGUACCUAACCAGAAAGCCACGGCUAACUACGUGCCAGCCGCCGCCGUAA
rnacentral:rRNA from 1 species